AUUGAACGAUGGCGGCAGGCUUAACACAUGCAAGUCGAACGGGUGGCGGACGGGUGAGUAGUGGUUGGGAAUGUAGCUUAUGGAGGGGGAUAACGACGGGAAAAGGUAGAUACUACCGCGUACCAUAGGAUGAGGCAAAGUGGGAUGAGGUAGUUGGUGAGGUAAAGGCUAACCAAGCGGAGGAGCUCUAGCUGGUCUGAGCGGAUGACCAGCCACACUGGGACUGAGACACGGCCCAGACUCCUACGGGAGGCAGCAGUGGGGAAUAUUGCGCAAUGGGGGCAACCUGACGCAGCCAUGCCGCGUGAAUGAAGAAGGCCUUCGGGUUGUAAAGUUCUUUCGGUAGCGAGGCGUUAACUACAGAAGAAGCACCGGCUAACUCCGUGCCAGCAGCCGCGGUAAUUC
rnacentral:rRNA from 1 species